AAUUCUAAACCCUAAACCCCACCUCUUGAGUGCUAUUUUUGUGACUUUUGGCCUUGAGUGCUAGUUUGGGAACAAAAACUUGAUAUAGUGCUAUUUUAGUCUUUUUCUCCUAAUUUUUUUCGAUGGGAUCAAUUAUGUACAAUGAUUAUGUAUCAAUUAAAAUUUUGAUUAAUCAUGAAAAUCAGGUUUAACCGAUUGAAUUAGAUUCAACCAUGAUAAAGCAGCGUUUCCAUUGUGAUUCUAGCGAUGCCUCCAGUUUUUUGAAUAUCGAAAACAAUGCCACAUUAAGAAUUUAUACAACUCAACAGCACCUAAUUCGCUUUAAACAUAUCCUCUAUCCCUUAUAUACUAAAGCACAAGUCACAUAAUCACUAAAUUUUUAACACAUAGGAAAGCUUUAACUAUCUAAAUUCCUGAUUUUUCUAAAACAUAUCCCUUAUCCCUUGUAUUUUCUUCAUCUUCUAUUUUUGUGCAAUCCAAAUCUUCAACUACCUAAAUUCUUGAUUUUUUCUCAAAAUUUGCAUCUCACGUUUUAGUUAAUUUCUUCGUUCUCCAACUAUUUUCUUCUCUAUAAAAUUUAAAAAAUUUACUGUUUUCUUCUCUACACUUUAUCUAUCACCAAAGAUUGUAUAAUUUGUAAUUGAUUUAUCAAAAGCAGGAGCCAGUUCACAUUAUCAAAAAGGAUACGAUGGAGAACACAUAUUUGAAAGAAGAUGACAAGAGAUUUCUACUAUGUUUGCCAGUAAAAAGAUUUCAUGAAUCAUCAACAAACUUGAAGCAACAUCAAAUAUGACAGAAGGGGAAGUUGCUAACAAUGAAGAAAAUCUGAAGAAACAAACCAUCAAUUCAUUUUCAGUAAGUACCAGAGAAAAAGUUACAGCAAUUUAUAUCCAAAAUUAAGGUAACAAUAAAAAAAUUUCUUAUACUAUAAUCAUAUUGUCACGAAUCCAUUCAGUUCUUUUUAUAUGAAUAUAGGAAACUACACAUGAGGAUGAUAAAUUUCACAAUGUUUUAGAAAAAAAGGAAAAUCAAACUUCAUAUUUUUUUAGAGUGGACAAGGUUUAAUCAACUACGAAAAUAUACUAGGUUAGUGAUAUUUUGUUUCCUAUCUUUCAAAAUGCUUAUUAUACUUUUUCUUUGAAUCAUGUUUUUCUGUGUUGAUAUAAAUGUUAACUUUUUAUAUUUCCAUUUAAGUAAGAGAAAAAUAGAGUAUUUGAAAACAUGAAAAAUACAUGUAUCUGAUUCCAACCAUAUAAAUUGCUGCACAUAAUAAUAUAUUCUUUAAAAAAAAUAUAAAGCAUCAUCAUGUCACGGAAGGUUCAAAAUCAGGAAUGGUGUAUUAACACCACAUUAUAAAGUCAAAAACUUAUGGACAAUUACCACUACAUUUAACACAAAACAUGUGUGACUCGGGAUAUCAAUGAAGAAAAACAUAAGUUGAAUUGUUAGAGGAUAAAAUGUAGUGUUAAUAGAGGUUUCAAUUAAUGGAUACAGGCUGUAGAUUUCUUACUACUUCCUCUGUAAAACAAAAGAUCAUAUACUAUGUUUAUAAUUUAUCUACUGAUCACAUGCUUCUGUAACAAAACUUGAUUAAUUCAGAAAAAUAAUUGUACCUUAAUGGCUUCAUGUUUUCCAUCUAUACUCCGAUAUUAGAAUUUCACCCGUUAUUCUUGGCAUAAGUUAACCGAGACGAUCUUCAAAUAAGUAGAAUAAGAUAGAUAAAUAACCAUCAUUUAUUUUAAAAAUAACACUGAAAUUUUGUUUUACAGUUUCUAACCGCUUUGUUUCAAUGCAACAACCCUCAUGUUACAAUAUUUGAUUAAAAUAUUUUUUUUUUUGAUUAAACGUUAUGAUAAAAUAAUUUAAAACACAAUAACUUUGACCUGUGCGUAGCACAGGAGUAACACUAGAAUAUAUUAAAGGAGAAGCACUUAUAAAACUUAACUUAAAAGUUUAUUGGCAAGUAAUAUGACGUUGUGACGUGGUGACGUGGCUUCACGAUAAACUUUUAUUUAGUAAAACGCUUAGGUGUUACGCAGAUAACGUUUUUCACCAAAACUGUGAAUUUAAUGCAUUCACACUAAUAUUCAUUUAAAAGAAUUUCAUACCAUCUAUACUUUUCUCGACUCACACUUUUACGUGAUAAACCUCCAGCUUCAAGUUUGAGUAGUUGAUUUAUCAAUCCUCUCAAUAUAAUCAUAGCAUCAAUAAAGAAUCCUUAUUUCUCUGUACCUUUCUGUUAAAAACGAUAACCCAUCUGAUCUAUCGCCAUUAAGUCGACAGAUCCGUAGAGACGAUAAGGCGAUGAAACUUUAGUAUGAUGCCAAGUGUUAAUGAAGAACAUUUUUUCCAUACCUGCUUUCAUGCAUUUAGCAGAGCAUUCACGUUCUUAAGAACCGCUUCUCAUUGCUGAAAGAGGACGUUGAAAAUCUAUUUCUAGAUAAAUGUGUCGUACUCGGUUUUGUUACUGCUCGAUGAGGUGAUCUCUGUUUCGAGAAGACUGAAUCACUGUAAAUCGUCUCGGCUUAGUGUAUUAGUAUUCUCAUGCAAGCAAUAUAAGCAUGCGAGUGUCACAACCUUUGCCACCAUGAGAGCUCUGCAUUAGACGACUUUGAAGAUGAGAAGAAACUUCCAUGAACGAACCACUAGCAAGUAUCAUGUGUUGGUCGCAUCUCGAACAACCUUUACAAUUUAGAGGGUCAAAUAACCUUCAAUUUCUUUUAUUAUGCAACUAUGUUUUCUGAAUUUAAAGGAGCUAUAUUUUUUUUUAUUUCACACAGUUAUUGUUUUGCUUAUAAUAUGUUAUUGAUCCACCUUUUUCAAUUUUAUUUGUUAAACCCCUAAGUCCAUAACUACUACAACGUGAUAGGCGAAA